UACGUAGGGGGCAAGCGUUGUCCGGAAUUAUUGGGCGUAAAGAGCUCGUAGGCGGUCCUUUAAGUCGGAAGUGAAAUCUCAGGGCUCAACCCUGAAAUUGCUUUCGAUACUGGCGGACUUGAGGCAAGUAGGGGAGAGCGGAAUUCCUGGUGUAGCGGUGAAAUGCGCAGAUAUCAGGAGGAACACCGGUGGCGAAGGCGGCUCUCUGGGCUUGUUCUGACGCUGAGGAGCGAAAGCGUGGGGAGCGAACAGG
rnacentral:rRNA from 1 species